rnacentral:rRNA from 1 species
GGGGAAUAUUGCGCAAUGGGGGAAACCCUGACGCAGCGACGCCGCGUGAGCGAUGAGGCCUUAGGGUUGUAAAGCUCUGUUUUAAGGGACGAAUGUUACGGGGAGUAAUAUGCCCUGUAAAUGACGGUACCUUAAGAGGAAGCCCCGGCUAACUACGUGCCAGCAGCCGCGGUAAGACGUAGGGGGCGAGCGUUGUCCGGAAUUACUGGGCGUAAAGAGCACGUAGGCGGGACUUUGAGUCAGGUGUGAAAGACCGGGGCUCAACCUCGGGGUGGCACUUGAAACUGGGGUUCUUGAGGGCAGGAGAGGAAAGUAGAAUUCCUGGUGUAGCGGUGAAAUGCGUAGAAAUCAGGAGGAAUACCAGUGGCGAAGGCGACUUUCUGGACUGACCCUGACGCUGAGGUGCGAAAGCGUGGGUAGCAAACAG